CAAUAGCGUAUAUUAAAGCUGUUGCGGUUAAAAAGCUCGUAGUUGGAUUUCUGUCAAGGACAACUGGUCCGCCCUCCGGGUGAGCACAUAGUUUGGUCUUGACAUCUUGCUGGAAGCUGUUGCUGCACUUGGCUGUGUGGCGCAGUGUUCAGCACUUUCACUUUGAGGAAAUUGGAGUGUUUCAAGCAGGCACAUGCCUUUGGACACAGUAGCAUGGAAUAAUUAGAUCGGGCUUUUGCUCCAAUUUGUCGGUUUCUGGAGCUGAGGUGAGUAUUAAUGGGGAUUGUUGGGGGCAUCCGAAUUUAGCCGUCAGAGGUGAAAUUCUUGGAUCUGCUAAAGACGGACAACUGCGAAAGCGUUUGCCCAGGAUGUUUUCAUUGA
rnacentral:rRNA from 1 species